GAUGAACGCUGGCGGCGUGCCUAAUACAUGCAAGUCGAGCGAACAGAUGAGGAGCUUGCUCCUCUGACGUUAGCGGCGGACGGGUGAGUAACACGUGGAUAACCUACCUAUAAGACUGGGAUAACUUCGGGAAACCGGAGCUAAUACCGGAUAAUAUAUUGAACCGCAUGGUUCAAUAGUGAAAGACGGUUUUGCUGUCACUUAUAGAUGGAUCCGCGCCGCAUUAGCUAGUUGGUAAGGUAACGGCUUACCAAGGCAACGAUGCGUAGCCGACCUGAGAGGGUGACCGGCCCCACUGAACUUGGACCCGGGCCCAGACCCCAAGGGGGGGAGGCGGAGGGAAUUCUUCCGCAAGGGGCGAAGGUUUGACGGGGAACCGCCGCGGGAGUAAUGAGGUUCUCGGGUUGUAAAACCUUUGUUAUAAGGAAAAAAAAAAGGUGUAAGUAGUAAUCCCCUUCUGGCGGUUACUUAACAAGAAACCCCCGCCAAACUCGGUC
rnacentral:rRNA from 1 species